GACGAACGCUGGCGGCAUGCCUAAUACAUGCAAGUCGAACGCUUCUUUCAAGGGUGCUUGCACCUUUGAAAGAGGAGUGGCGAACGGGUGAGUAACACGUGGGGAACUUGCCUAUGAGUGGGGGAUAACAUUCGGAAACGGAUGCUAAUACCGCAUACGUCUCUUUUUCGCAUGGAAGAGAGAUAAAAGACGGCUUCGGCUGUUGCUCAUGGAUAGCCCCGCGGCGUAUUAGCUAGUUGGUGAGGUAACUGCUCACCAAGGCUGUGAUACGUAGCCGACCUGAGAGGGUGAUCGGCCACACUGGGACUGAGACACGGCCCAG
rnacentral:rRNA from 1 species